rnacentral:rRNA from 1 species
AAUGGAGAGUUUGAUCCUGGCUCAGGAUGAACGCUGGCGGCGUGCCUAAUACAUGCAAGUCGAACGCGGGCACUUGUGCCCGAGUGGCGAACGGGUGAGUAAUACAUAAGUAACCUGGCCUUUACAGGGGGAUAACUGCUGGAAACGGUAGCUAAGACCGCAUAGGUAGGGACACUGCAUGGUGACCGUAUUAAAAGUGCUGCAAGGCACUGGUAGAGGAUGGACUUAUGGCGCAUUAGCUGGUUGGUGAGGUAACGGCUCACCAAGGCGACGAUGCGUAGCCGACCUGAGAGGGUGACCGGCCACACUGGGACUGAGACACGGCCCAGACUCCUACGGGAGGCAGCAGUAGGGAAUUUUCGGCAAUGGGGGGAACCCUGACCGAGCAACGCCGCGUGAAGGAAGAAGGAAUUCGUUCUGUAAACUUCUGUUAUAAAGGAAGAAAGGCGGAUGGAGGAAAUGACAUCCGAGUGACGGUACUUUAUGAGAAAGCCACGGCUAACUACGUGCCAGCAGCCGCGGUAAUACGUAGGUGGCAAGCGUUAUCCGGAAUUAUUGGGCGUAAAGAGGGAGCAGGCGGCAGCAAAGGUCUGUGGUGAAAGACUGAAGCUUAACUUCAGUAAGCCAUAGAAACCAGGCAGCUAGAGUGCAGGAGAGGAUCGUGGAAUUCCAUGUGUAGCGGUGAAAUGCGUAGAUAUAUGGAGGAACACCAGUGGCGAAGGCGACGAUCUGGCCUGUAACUGACGCUCAGUCCCGAAAGCGUGGGGAGCAAAUAGGAUUAGAUACCCUAGUAGUCCACGCCGUAAACGAUGAGUACUAAGUGUUGGAAGUCAAAUUUCAGUGCUGCAGUUAACGCAGUAAGUACUCCGCCUGAGUAGUACGUUCGCAAGAAUGAAACUCAAAGGAAUUGACGGGGGCCCGCACAAGCGGUGGAGCAUGUGGUUUAAUUCGAAGCAACGCGAAGAACCUUACCAGGUCUUGACAUACUCAUAAAGGAUCCAGAGAUGGAUAGAUAGUUAUAUGAGAUACAGGUGGUGCAUGGUUGUCGUCAGCUCGUGUCGUGAGAUGUUGGGUUAAGUCCCGCAACGAGCGCAACCCUUAUCGUUAGUUACCAUCAUUAAGUUGGGGACUCUAGCGAGACUGCCAGUGACAAGCUGGAGGAAGGCGGGGAUGACGUCAAAUCAUCAUGCCCCUUAUGACCUGGGCUACACACGUGCUACAAUGGAUGGUGCAGAGGGAAGCGAAGCCGCGAGGCGAAGCAAAACCCAUAAAACCAUUCUCAGUUCGGAUUGUAGUCUGCAACUCGACUACAUGAAGUUGGAAUCGCUAGUAAUCGCGAAUCAGCAUGUCGCGGUGAAUACGUUCUCGGGCCUUGUACACACCGCCCGUCACACCAUGAGAGUUGAUAACACCCGAAGCCGGUGGCCUAACCGAAAGGAAGGAGCUGUCUAAGGUGGGAUUGAUGAUUGGGGUGAAGUCGUAACAAGGUAUCCCUACGGGAACGUGGGGAUGGAUCACCUCCUUUCU